GGAGUAGCAAUAGUUUGAGCGAGGAAUGCAAGGAUUGGGGUUUUUAGGGUUUGAUGUCUGUCAGGGGAGAGAAGGAGAUUGAUUUUGGCAAUAAAAUUGCUUUGUUGUUUCACUUCAACAUAAAAAAAUGGCCGAUAUGAUCAGUUGUUUGGCAGACGCAGUUCUGUGUAACAUUCUAUCUUUGUCUCAACCAAAGAAGUUGUUGCAAACAGCGUUCUCUCCAAGCGAUGGGAGCCUCUCUGGCGCUCAGUUCCCACUCUCGACUUAGAAGAACACAGCUACCUCAAGCUGAGCUAUUUCCAUUUGGACCAACCCCUCAAAAGACUCCGCCACUGUGUUCGCUCUUCUCGUUACAGUCCCGCCGAUGUCAAAGCAUGGCUCGCGGACGCCGCGUGUUCUCCUGUGUUCCUUGGAUAAUUGGUUUACCCUCUGCCUUGCUUAAGUGCUAUGCAUUUUGCUGAGCUUCUUUGUGGGUGUCCUAAUCUUGAGGAUUUGAAUGCGGAGAAUUUAGGCUGUAUUUACGAUGAACAUGGCGAUGAAUUUUAUGAUGAUAUGGAAGGAAUUCAAGCUCGGUUUAAAACAUUGCCCAAGUUGGUCAGAGCCCAUAUCCAUAAACCCGAUGCUGUGGUUCCAUUAGAAGUUGUUAACAAUGUUGAGUUUAUGAGCAUAGAUUGGAUACGAUGUGUAUAUCUUCAAUACUACAUGCCUGAAUUUCACAAUUUAACUCACAUUGAAUUUGGCUAUUUGGAUUUGGAGCGUGCUAGCGAGCGGCUUAAAUUGUUGAAAGUACUGUAGCAUUGCCCCAAGCUUCAAAUUCUUGUCAUUGAUAAGAAGGAUCUAGGACUACAUGCUAACGAGGGAUCAGAUUGGUCAUACCCACAGUCUAUUCCCACGUGCGUUUCAUUACACCUUAAAACAUGCCGUCUUACCAAUUAUGUGGGCUCAAAAGGUGAGUUUCAAUUUGCAAGAUAUAUUAUGCAGAAUGCAAGUCAUUUGCAGACCAUGACAAUUUGCACUAACACUAGUUCAAACGAAGGGGAGAAGCUUGAAAUGAUUGAAAACUUAUCCUCCUGCACAAGGUGUUCUGCAACUUGUAAACUUUUAUUUAAAUAGUUUACAUUUGACCAGUUGCAAACCGUUCCUUGUUGGCCAUCUUUACAUUAGUAACCUCUGGGAUAUUGACGUAAACUCAAGGAUAUUGACUUGUUUUGUUUAUAAUCUAUGUGUUUCUUUACUGAUGAGUAUUUGUGAAUUACGUCUGAUUCUGUUCAUUCUCUGGAAUUGUUAGUUUUAUUGUGGCCUUAUGGCAGCUUUCGGGGUUAAUUAUAAAUUAAUGUCUGUAAUGUUUGUCAUGUUU